AUUGAACGCUGGCGGCAGGCCUAACACAUGCAAGUCGAGCGAGCGGCGGAGGGGUGAGUAAUGUAUGGGGAUCUGCCAGAUAGAGGGGGAUAACUACUGGACACGGGGGCUAAUACCGCAUACUCACGGAUGAACCCAUAGGGGAUUAGAGAGUAGGUGGGGUAAAGGCUCACCUAGGAGACGCUCUCUCGCUGGUCUGAGAGGAUGAUCAGCCACACUGGGACUGAGACACGGCCCAGACUCCUACGGGAGGCAGCAGUGGGGAAUAUUGCACAAUGGGCGCAAGCCUGAUGCAGCCAUGCCGCGUGUGUGAAGAAGGCCUUAGGGUUGUAAAGUACUUUCAGCGGGGAGGCGUUACCCGCAGAAGAAGCACCGGCUAACUCCGUGCCAGCAGCCGCGGUAAUUC
rnacentral:rRNA from 1 species